rnacentral:misc_RNA from 1 species
AGCAGCCGCGGUAAUUCCAGCUCCAAUAGCGUAUAUUAAAGUUGUUGCAGUUAAAAAGCUCGUAGUUGAAUUUCGGGACCAAUUUGUUGGUCGUGCCUCGGUACGUACUGGUAUUAUUGGUUUCUCCCUUCUGAAGAACCUCGAUGCCAUUAAUUUGGUGUCGUGGGGAAUCAGGACUGUUACUUUGAAAAAAUUAGAGUGUUUAAAGCAAGCAUACGCUUGAAUACAUUAGCAUGGAAUAAUGAAAUAGGACGUUUGAUUCUAUUUUGUUGGUUUCUAGGGUCGACGUAAUGAUUAAUAGGGAUAGUUGGGGGCAUUAGUAUUCAAUUGUCAGAGGUGAAAUUCUUGGAUUUAUUGAAGACUAACUACUGCGAAAGCAUUUGCCAAGGAUGUUUUCAUUAAUCAAGAACGAAAGUUAGGGGAUCGAAGACGAUCAGAUACCGUCGUAGUCUUAACCAUAAACUAUGCCGACUAGGGAUCGGAUGAUGUUAAUUUUUUAAUGACUCAUUCGGCGCCUUAC